UACGUAGGGGGCAAGCGUUGUCCGGAUUUAUUGGGCGUAAAGAGCGUGUAGGCGGCCAGGUAGGUCCGCUGUGAAAACUCGAGGCUCAACCUCGAGAUGUCGGCGGAAACCAUCUGGCUAGAGUCCGGAAGAGGAGAGUGGAAUUCCUGGUGUAGCGGUGAAAUGCGCAGAUAUCAGGAAGAACACCCGUGGCGAAGGCGGCUCUCUGGGACGGUACUGACGCUGAGACGCGAAAGCGUGGGGAGCAAACGGG
rnacentral:rRNA from 1 species